rnacentral:rRNA from 1 species
ACGAACGCUGGCGGCGUGCUUCACACAUGCCAGUCGAACGGAAAGGCCCUGCUUGCAGGGUACUCGAGUGGCGAACGGGUGAGUAACACGUGGGUGAUCUGCCCUGCACUUCGGGAUAAGCUUGGGAAACUGGGUCUAAUACCGGAUAGGAGCCAUCUUUAGUGUGGUGGUUGGAAAGUUUUUUCGGUGUAGGAUGAGCUCGCGGCCUAUCAGCUUGUUGGUGGGGUAAUGGCCUACCAAGGCGGCGAUGGGUAGCCGGCCUGAGAGGGUGUACGGCCACAUUGGGACUGAGAUACGGCCCAGACUCCUACGGGAGGCAGCAGUGGGGAAUAUUGCACAAUGGGCGCAAGCCUGAUGCAGCGACGCCGCGUGGGGGAUGAAGGCCAUCGGGUUGUAAACUCCUUUCGCUAGGGACGAAGCUUUUUUGUGACGGUACCUAGAGAAGAAGCACCGGCUAACUACGUG